rnacentral:rRNA from 1 species
UCUAACAAGAAACUAAUCGUAGAUUUGAAGCUUCUGGUACUCGUCGCCAGCGAUGGCCUGGGUCAUGAUGGCCUCGGGGUUGACCACGCCGUCGUUCUGCAGGAAGAUCUUGAGCACGUUCUUGGAGAAGCCGCUGACCAUGGCGGCGCCGGGCUGGGUGGACGUCACGGGCGUCGACUUGGAGUCGCGCAGGUUCCAGAACACCACCUGGGGCACGGCGUCGCCGUAGCCGGCGUCCCUGAACUUGCGGCAGAUGGCGGCGUAGUCCGUGUCCCACGACCCCUCGCCGUAGGGCAUGCCGUUGUAGACGCCCCGCCCGCACGCCUCGCCGAACUCCAUGUCGCUGUAGACGAAGACGGUUCUGAUCAUCUUCUCCGGCGGCAGCUGGGCCUCCCUGGCCGUGGCGAGGAUGCGGUCGAACACGCCCUGGAAGUUGGUGCUCCCGUGCCACUCGAGCUUGGCGACGAACCGCAUCUUGUCCCGCAGCGUCUCGCCCUUGAUCACGUGGAUGGAGGGCCUGGUGUGGAACGUGAUCACCUUGCCCGCCCACGGCUCCUCGCUGAGCUCCGAGGUGAGCACGCCCAGCGCGAUGGCCACCUCCAUGGGGGUGCCCUCCAUGCUCCCGGACACGUCGCAGAUGGAGAUGCAGUUGCGCAGCGAGCCCUUGGCGCGGAGGUCGUCCACCAUGCGGCGCCACUGCAGCUCCGCCACCUCGUCCUCCUCGCCGCGGUAGGCCGCGGCGGCGAUCUCGUGCGGCAGGACGGCGCCCGCCGCGAUCUUGGCCUUGCCGGCCUCCACGUCCUCGAGGUACUUGGCGAAGCGCUCCUCGUCGUGCUUCUGGAAGAGGGCCUUGUAGCGCCGCAUGGCCACCGAGGCGACGCGCGCGUAGGGCACUUCGUCCCACCGCUGCGCGCACAUGUAGACCUCCGGGAGCUCCAGGGCCUUGCGGAUGGGCGCCAGGACGUCGCGGCGGAGGCGGCGGAGGACGCGGUAGCUGUAGUGCUCGUCGGAGAGCUCGGCGUACUCGGGGUCGGAGUCGCGCGGGAAGAGGCGGCAGGCGAUGGCCUCGCAGAGCAGCGUGGCGCGGUCGAAGGAGGAGCCCGGCGUGGGGCACCACUUGGCGGCGAGCCCGAUCUUCCUCUUCUUGCCGCCGGGGGCCAUCUGCUUCAUGUCGGAGGCGAGCAGGGCGGCGAAGAAGUCGGCCACGGCGUCAAACAGGAAGCGGUACGCGCGGUCGCCGUAGUAGGUCUCGAGCGACUGCACGGCGAGCUUGGCCAUGGUCCGGACCUUCUUCGGCACGCCCCGCUUGGAGGCCUUCUUCUGAUCGACCUCCAUGGCCUCCGUCUUCUGCUCCGCCACCUCCGUGACGGACCUGGUAGCGGCCUCGCGGGCGCGCUUGCGGCCGGCGAGCCUGGCGCGGAGGCCGACCCGCUGCUCCGCGAGCUGCUUGCCCUCCCUGCGCGCCUUGUCGGCGGCGGCGCCCUCCUUGGCGAGCCUGCGCACGUCCUGGCCACGGACGAGCCGGAAGAGCAGCUCGGGGAAGUCCUUGAGGUAGCCGAACUCGGCGAGCGCGGCGACGUUGCAGGCGAGCGUGCGCGGGUGGUGGUCGUGCAGCCACAGCGCGGCGGCGUAGAAGCCCUCCCUGUCCGACUUGCCGGUACCGCGCACGCCGCGGAGGUUGCAGGCGAGCUUGAGCGCCGUGAGCGGGUCGCGGGCCCAGGCGGCGGCGAGGAGCUCGCGCACGCGCGCGGCGGGCGUGGUCGGGACCACGUGGAAGAAGAAGUCGACGCAGGGGUCGCCCGAGUUGGCGUACGUGGCGUUGCAGUUCUCCGUGCGCGCCCGCCGCGGGGCCAGCGCCGCCUUGGCCUCGGCGGCGGACGGCGCGUUGAAGGCCGCGUCGAGGAG